rnacentral:misc_RNA from 1 species
GAUGAAGAACGUAGCGAAAUGCGAUAAGUAAUGUGAAUUGCAGAAUUCAGUGAAUCAUCGAAUCUUUGAACGCACAUUGCGCCCCUUGGUAUUCCGAGGGGCAUGUCUGUUCGAGCGUCAUUAUAACCCCUCAAGCUCAGCUUGGUGUUGGGGCCUGCUGCACUGGCAGCCCUUAAAAUCAGUGGCGGCGCCAUCUGGCUCUAAGCGUAGUAAUUCUUCUCGCUAUGGAGUCCUGGUGGAUGCUUGCCAUCAACCCCCAAUUUUUCUAUGGUUGACCUCGGAUCAGGUAGGGAUACACGCUGAACUUAAGCAUAUCAAUAAGCGGAGGA